AGCGAACGCUGGCGGCAGGCCUAACACAUGCAAGUCGAGCGGCCGUAGCAAUACGGCAGCGGCAGACGGGAGAGUAACACGUGGGAACGCGCCCUUCGGUCUGGAAUAACCCAGGGAAACUUGGGCUAAUACCGGAUACGCCCUUACGGGGAAAGAUUUAUUGCCGAAGGAACGGCCCGCGUCCGAUUAGCUAGUUGGUGAGGUAACGGCUCACCAAGGCGACGAUCGGUAGCUGGUCUGAGAGGAUGGCCAGCCUCACUGGGACUGAGACACGGCCCAGACUCCUACGGGAGGCAGCAGUGGGGAAUAUUGGACAAUGGGCGCAAGCCUGAUCCAGCCAUGCCGCGUGGGUGAUGAAGGCCCUAGGGUUGUAAAGCCCUUUCAGCGGGGAAGAUAAUGACGGUACCCGCAGAAGAAGCCCCGGCUAACUUCGUGC
rnacentral:rRNA from 1 species